UAGGGAAUCUUCCGCAAUGGACGAAAGUCUGACGGAGCAACGCCGCGUGAGUGAUGAAGGUCUUCGGAUCGUAAAACUCUGUUGUUAGGGAAGAACAAAUGCGAGAGUAACUGCUCGCAUCUUGACGGUACCUAACCAGAAAGCCACGGCUAACUACGUGCCAGCAGCCGCGGUAAUACGUAGGUGGCAAGCGUUGUCCGGAAUUAUUGGGCGUAAAGCGCGCGCAGGCGGUCCCUUAAGUCUGAUGUGAAAGCCCACAGCUUAACUGUGGAGGGCCAUUGGAAACUGGGGGACUUGAGUGCAGAAGAGAAGAGCGGAAUUCCAUGUGUAGCGGUGAAAUGCGUAGAGAUAUGGAGGAACACCAGUGGCGAAGGCGGCUCUUUGGUCUGUAACUGACGCUGAGGCGCGAAAGCGUGGGGAGCAAACAGG
rnacentral:rRNA from 1 species